rnacentral:rRNA from 1 species
CGUAGCCGCGGUAAUACGUAGGUGGCAAGCGUUGUCCGGGAUUAUUGGGCGUAAAGGGCUCGCAGGCGGUUUCUUAAGUCUGAUGUGAAAGCCCCCGGCUCAACCGGGGAGGGUCAUUGGAAACUGGGAAACUUGAGUGCAGAAGAGGAGAGUGGAAUUCCACGUGUAGCGGUGAAAUGCGUAGAGAUGUGGAGGAACACCAGUGGCGAAGGCGACUCUCUGGUCUGUAACUGACGCUGAGGAGCGAAAGCGUGGGGAGCGAACAGGAUUAGAUACCCCUGUAGUCCCUGUCUCUUAUACA